GGGACCUAGCGUAGUUCGGGAUUACUGGGCUUAAAGAGCUCGUAGGUGGUUAAAAUAGUUGAUGGUGAAAUCCCAAGGCUCAACCUUGGAACUGCCAUCAAAACUUUUUAGCUAGAGUGUGAUAGAGGUAAGUGGAAUUUCUAGUGUAGAGGUGAAAUUCGUAGAUAUUGUGAAGAAUACCAAUGGCGAAGGCAGCCUCCUGGAUCUGUACUGACACUGAGGUGCGAAAGCGUGGGUAGCGAACAGGAUUAGAUACCCUGGUAGUCCACGCCGUAAACGAUGUCAACUAGCUGUUGGAAAACUAUGUUUUUCAGUGGCGCAGCUAACGUAGUAAGUUGACCGCCUGGGGAGUACGGCCGCAAGGCUAAAACUCAAAUGAAUUGACGGGGACCCGCACAAGCGGUGGAGCAUGUGGUUUAAUUCGAUGCAACGCGAAAAACCUUACCUAUACUUGACAUACUUGGAAUACUUUGUAAUGAAGUAGUGCCUUCGGGAACCAAGAUACAGGUGCUGCAUGGCU
rnacentral:rRNA from 1 species